rnacentral:rRNA from 1 species
GGAAUCUUCCACAAUGGGCGCAAGCCUGAUGGAGCAACACCGCGUGAGUGAAGAAGGGUUUCGGCUCGUAAAGCUCUGUUGUUAAAGAAGAACACGUAUGAGAGUAACUGUUCAUACGUUGACGGUAUUUAACCAGAAAGUCACGGCUAACUACGUGCCUG